UUGAUGGAGCUAUGCACGUCUUUAUUCCCCCUCACCUAUCAAGGCUAUGCUUGACACCCAGAGAUGCUUAAUCAGGAUAUGAAGUUUUUAGAAAACCUUUCAACUUUCCAACACCCCCACGUGGAAGAAUAACCCACCAAGAUGCUUCCUUCUUCAGAUUCCACCCUCAGCCUGGAAGGAUUGGAGCGUCUACUUCAGAACCUGUCAUGAGUUCAUCCCAUUUUCUCAUCCAACAGAGUCCUGGAAUCUCGGCUCCCUCAUGGUUAUAUCUGAAGAUGCAGGUUUUCAACUGUUCCCAUUUUUAACUGCCCAUUUAUGACUCUUUUUGCCUUGAAGACGGAUCUUGACACAAAGAAUGAGACAGAGUCCAGAAUGCCUACUCUUCAAAACCACCUGACUGAAGGAAGCAUCAGGGGCAGACACCAGAAGAAAGUGAGGGUCUCUUCCUACACUUAAGGUCACCAGUAAUGCCAAAGUGGUGACAUCCAGGGUCGAUUGAUCACUUCCCUCCACUUUUACGCUACUUUUGACUACAUCUACUACUCCCUAUUUCCUACUUCUGGAAAAAUCCCUCCUUCCUGAGGCUUCAGAGUCGAGCAGAAUGCCUAAUGUAUUGGCUUUGAAGUCAGAGUGACGCAAUCCCCACUCUACCACCUAUUCUUAGUGGGAUACUGGAUACGUUUCCUACACUGAGCCUCAAUGUCCCCACUGCAGUGCAAGAAAUCCGGAGGACUUGCUGCAUAGACUUGCUGCAAGGAUUACAUGAAGUGAUUAUCCUGAAGUGCUUAGCACAGUGCCUGGUAUACGUUAUAGUAUUAGGUACCACUUACCCCUUCCCUGCACCAGGGACUACAUGGACCAGGGUCAAUCGUCAAAUGAGAAACAAGAUACAUUGUAGUCUGAGCUGGCACCCUAACCCUAACUUCUCCUACUGCAGAGGUAUGUUGGGGUCAUCCUUAGUCUCUCACCCCCAUUCUGAGACAGCAGGACCCCAGUCACAUCAAAGAAGCAGAGAGAUGAGUGACAGCAUUUCCUUGUGAAACCUGAGACCUCACUUGCAAUAUCCUGAGCAGGAUAUCUUCUUCAAGUUUAUGGCCAAGUCCUAGGCCUGACAUUCAGCAUCUAUGUUUCUGUCUUCCCAACUACAACUCCUGGCUGGCCAGGUAGGGGGCAGGGGGAAGAUGUCUUAUUUAUUUCCAAUGACAUACAAUAGGCAUUCAAUAAAUAUUAGUUACUUCUUCGAAGGCAGGGAUCAGCAAACUUUUUCUCUAAAGGGUCAGAUAGUAAAUAUUUAGGCUUUGCAGGCCAUACUGUCUCUGUAACAACAACUGUACUCAACUCUGCAAUUACAUUCCAAAAGCAGCCAUAGACACACAUAAACACGUGAGCAUGGCUAUGUUCCAGUAGAAUUUAAUUUACAAAAACGGGUGGUAGGCCAGACUGGGUGCAGAGGCUAUGGUUUCCUAUUCCUGCUUUAAGGGUUGCACAGACCUCACACGUUUUAAAUUCAGUACCAUAAGCAAAUUUUCAUACCGCGUGUUUUCUAAACAUAAAGCUUUCAAGCAACUAUGCUUUCCCUGGUGGCAGGCCCAGCAUAUCAUUCAUUCAUUCAUUUACUCCAUGAUAUUGAACCCUCCUAUGGCGAAGCACUUUUCUAGGUGCAAAAAAAGAAACAAUCACAGAAAUGUAACUUCAUUUUCAUUAUUGGUCUUGAGAAACUUGUCCACAGGAGUAUGUUGCUCAUUAUUUCACUUCAGUUGUCUCUUCUGUCUUCCAGAUAUUUAUGGAACAGCGUUUAAGCUGUACCUUGCCUACUUGGCAUCAUCUAUAUCUUGUUUCAGUUUGGCAUGAUCUCAGUGAUUCCUCUCACUGCAGCUUUGUCUCUGUUUUUGGAACAUGCUAUUGGCUUUCUUAGGCAAUGCCCCUCUGGAUUGGCACUAGAGCCAGGGACGGGACCGUGUACCUCUUCGCUGCCCCUUUGGGUUGAUCUUCCAGUCUGAGCUCGUGGGAAGAAGCUGGACAUUAAGUGUGUUGGUGUAUCCCUGGUCUCUCCUCCAAAAAAGCAAAGGAUAUGUGUGUGUGUGUGCAAAUUAAAAAAGAUAAUGAAAACGUUAGGAGAAAAAUAUCUAUUUAAGCAACAGUUUAAAUCAUGAGGGUUAUACCAUCAUUACAUGUUUAGAUGAGAAUAUAAUUUAAAUGGACAAACAUGGACAAUAUUUUUUGAU